AGGAGUGGGGAGAUGGGCGAGAGGCGGCCCGACGAGAGCAUGCUGGGCUUAUUGGUGGAGGAGAGGAGCACGCCGCCAGGGGCUCCCCGCGUCGCCUCUGGGAGGCCGGAGGAGGAGCUCCAGGAGGGCCCCGGUGCUGCUGCCACGCUCGGAUCUAGCGCCAAGCGGCCGGGCGGCCUCCCCGCGCAGCAUAGGCCCGGGCUGAAAAGGGCGGCACGG
rnacentral:lncRNA from 1 species